rnacentral:snoRNA from 1 species
CAGCGCUGCUUGUAACCAGGUAGCCUGGUGUUGGUAACGGGUUGCGUUCCGGUGUGACAGUGUUUCAGAAGACAGGCAACUGGCUGACUGUGGCAACCGCUUUUAGGUCUUGGAGACAAAG